UACGGAGGAUGCGAGCGUUAUCCGGAUUUAUUGGGUUUAAAGGGUGCGUAGGCGGGAUGCCAAGUCAGCGGUAAAAAUGCGGUGCUCAACGCCGUCGAGCCGUUGAAACUGGCGUUCUUGAGUGGGCGAGAAGUAUGCGGAAUGCGUGGUGUAGCGGUGGAAUGCAUAGAUAUCACGCAGAACUCCGAUUGCGAAGGCAGCAUACCGGCGCCCUACUGACGCUGAGGCACGAAAGCGUGGGUAUCGAACAGG
rnacentral:rRNA from 1 species